rnacentral:lncRNA from 1 species
GUUUUUAUACGACCGCAAAAUUUGAAAAAUUUUUCGUCGUAUAUUGCUAUCACGUUGGCGUCGUCGUCGUCGUCCGAAUACUUUUAGUUUUCGCACUCUAACUUUAGUAAAAGUGAAUAGAAAUCUAUGAAAUUUUAACACAAGGUUUAUGACCACAAAAGGAAGGUUGGGAUUGAUUUUGGGAGUUUUAGUCCCAACAUUUUAGGAAUAAGGGGCCAAAAAGGGCCCAAAUAAGCAUUUUCUUGGUUUUCGCACUAUAACUUUAGUUUAAGUAAAUAGAAAUCUAUGAAAUUUUGACAUAAGGUUUAUGACCACAAAAGAAAGGUUGGGAUUGAUUUUGGGAGUUUUGGUUUCAACAGUUUAGGAAUUAGGGGCCAAAAAAGGGCCCAAAUAAGCAUUAUUCUUGGUUUUCGCACAAUAACUUUAGUUUAAGUAAAUAGAAAUCAAUGAAAUUUAAACACAAUGUUUAUGACCACAAAAGGAAGGUUGGUAUUGAUUUUGGGAGUUUAGGUCCCAACAGUUUAGGAAUUAAGGGCCAAAAAGGGACCCAAAUAAGCAUUUUUUUGGGUUUUCGCACCAUAACUUUAGUAUAAGUAAAUAGAAAUCUAUGAAAUUUAAACACAAGGUUUAUGACCAUAAAAGGAAGGUUGGUAUUGAUUUUGGGAGUUUUGGUCCCAACAGUUUAGGAAUAAAGGGC